CUGACGGUACCGGAGGAGGAAGCCCCGGCUAACUACGUGCCAGCAGCCGCGGUAAUACGUAGGGGGCAAGCGUUGUCCGGAUUCACUGGGCGUAAAGCGCGCGCAGGCGGUGAUGUAAGUCUGAGGUGAAAACCCGAAGCUCAACUUCGGGACUGCCUUGGAUACUGCGUCACUUGAGGAUAGGAGAGGCAAGGGGAAUUCCACGUGUAGCGGUGAAAUGCGUAGAGAUGUGGAGGAACACCUGUGGCGAAGGCGCCUUGCUGGCCUAUUUCUGACGCUGAGGCGCGAAAGCGUGGGGAGCAAACAGGAUUAGAUACCCUGGUAGUCCACGCUGUAAACGAUGAGUGCUAGGUGUAGGUGGGCUCAUACCCAUCUGUGCCGAAGCUAACGCAUUAAGCACUCCGCCUGGGGAGUACGGUCGCAUGACUGAAACUCAAAGGAAUUGACGGGGGCCCGCACAAGCAGUGGAGCAUGUGGUUUAAUUCGAAGCAACGCGAAGAACCUUACCAGGACUUGACAUCCCAUAGACCAGUCUAGAGAUAGACUUUCCCUUCGGGGCUGUGGUGACAGGUGGUGCAUGGUUGUCGUCAGCUCGUGUCGUGAGAUGUUGGGUUAAGUCCCGCAACGAGCGCAACCCUUACUUUGUGUUGCCAGCAUUCAGUUGGGCACUCACAAGGGACUGCCGCCGAUAAGGCGGAGGAAGGUGGGGAUGACGUCAAAUCAUCAUGCCCCUUAUGUCCUGGGCUACACACGUGCUACAAUGGGCGGUACAACGGGAUGCGAAGCCGCGAGGUGGAGCCAAACCCUGAAAACCGUUCGUAGUUCGGAUUGUAGGCUGCAACUCGCCUACAUGAAGCCGGAAUUGCUAGUAAUCGCGGAUCAGCAUGCCGCGGUGAAUCCGUUCCCGGGCCUUGUACACACCGCCCGUCACACCACGAGAAUGGGCAACACCCGAAGUCGGUGGGGUAAC
rnacentral:rRNA from 1 species